rnacentral:rRNA from 1 species
UUAUAAGAGACAGCAGCCGCCGCGGUAAUACGGAGGGUGCAAGCGUUAUCCGGAUUUAUUGGGUUUAAAGGGUCCGUAGGCGGAUCUGUAAGUCAGUGGUGAAAUCUCACAGCUUAACUGUGAAACUGCCAUUGAUACUGCAGGUCUUGAGUAAAUUUGAAGUGGCUGGAAUAAGUAGUGUAGCGGUGAAAUGCAUAGAUAUUACUUAGAACACCAAUUGCGAAGGCAGGUCACUAAGAUUUAACUGACGCUGAUGGACGAAAGCGUGGGGAGCGAACAGGAUUAGAUACCCCUGUAGUCCCUGUCUCUUAUAC